CCCGUCCUGUUCGGGCCAAGCCCAGCGGAGUCUGACUCAGGAGAACCGAGAUUCGACUGGGGUGAUUCACCUGUUUAGGGGGCGGGGUCCCGGUGAGCACCUGUUCUCUCUCGCCCCUCUCGCGGCCGGCUAUGGACCCGCCUAGAUACACCGUGCAGGGCGGGGAGAGUCACAGCGAACUUGGGCCCGGGAGAGGCUUCUUGGUAGCGUCUGACUAGUGAUUGUCUGACUAGUGAUCGAACCCACAACUUGGUGUUUGGAGACGAGUCUCUAACCAACUGAUCUACCCCCCCAGGGGCAGGGCUUUCUCUUGGACUACUUGAAGAACCAAGUGACGUUCCCGGAAGGGAAGCGUUUCUCCCUUUGUGGUGCCCAAGGGGAAUCAGGCCCAGGAAAACUUGGAAUUGUACUUCGGACGUUUUCUCUGCCUACGCCGCUUCUCUUCUCGUGUUUUGGCCUCUGGGCGUCUCUAGCCCUAGGUCAGGCCUCCGGAAACCCUUGCUCUUGAAGGGGCCGAGCGGAAGCGCAGGACUAAAGACAGGUUUUCGGGUUUUCAGCUAAGAUUCCCAAGAGAGAAGGGAGGGAGAAAGGGAGAGAAACAUGAUGUGAGAAACAAGGAUGGGUGGCCUCUCCUGCGCCUCUACCGGGGAGCAACCGCAUCCAGGCUUGUGACCUGACUGAUAAUGGAACUGGUGACCUUUCAGUUUGCAGGAUGGCACCCAAUCGACUGAGCUACCCAAGUCAGGACUAUUUUAACCAUUUGUGUGACAUACAUCACAUAUGGCCUUUCUGUGACUGCGAUGAACCAAGACAAAAACAGAAUUACUGUAUAAUCAUGUCUGAACACAGAUGAAAACAGGAACAUUGUCUAAGCCACAAAAUACCAAAUGACUCCUCCCCCAGAUAAUAUGAGUGACAGCUGCUCUAACUUUACUGCAUUCUUCUCAUCUUCUAGAUAAUAUAGAAUUACUCCCACUUCCUGAGAGCUCUCAAUCCAAAGGAAAUCCCCCUUAUUGGCACCUUCCCCUAUAUCACAUAACAUAAGCCCCAAUUCUCUGAGUCUUUUCUAACACCUUUUUACUGAAACAUUGCCCUAUUCCCCAUGUUGUCCAUCUUCCCGAACUGCAUUUGGUCAUUAAAAUCAACUUUG